AAAAAAUAGACAAAGAAUUUUAAAGCAUUACAUACAACAAGUCAGAAUCUUAUAAUAAAAUUGUAUCUGCUGGUGCCAUUUUCAAAAUUAAUUAGCUAUUAAAAUGGCUAUAUCCUUUCUUUGUUAGCUGAAUAAUAUUUAGCUAAUUGAUGUUUUUUCAUAUUUUAUUUGUAUUUUUUUUCAAAUUUCAACAAAACAUACUUAUUGGACUUACUGAGACAAGCCAAUAUAAAUAAGCAUUAAAGGCUGGGUGCACUGGCUCACACCUGUAAUCCCAGCACUUUGGGAGGCCGAGGUGGGUGGAUCACCUGAGGUCAGGAGUUCAAGACCAGCCUGGCCAACAUGGUGAAACCCCAUCCCUACUAAAAAAGAAAAAAAAUACAAAAUUAGCUAGGUGUGGUAGUGCAUGCCUGUAGACCCAGAUACUUGGGAGGCUGAGGCAUGAAAAUCACUUGAACCUGGGAGGCAGAGGUUGCAGUUAGCCAAGAUUGGGCCAUUGCACUCCAGCCUGGGCAACAAGAGUGAAAUUCCAUCUCAGAAAAAAAAAUAGAGAGAGCAAGAAAAGAAAAAGAAAUAAGCGUUAAAAAGCAAACUUUUCUACAAAACUCUCAACCUCUUGAUAUGUUUAGAAACCUUUUUCUCACUAAUUCUAAGACACAUAUAAUAAGCAGAGUUGUUACUAGAAUAGAAUCACAUUGCACACAUUAUUUUGCAACUUGCUCUUUUUCCAACAUGGUCAUCCCUACAAGUCAGUACAUAGAAGACUAACUGUGACUUUUUCCUUCAAAUUUCUUCAUAGUACAAACAUCAUCCGACAUAAAUGAUACCAUCAACUGUGCUGUUUUCUUUUAAUUGCCCCUGCCCUCUGCACUGCAAGCACAUUGCUCCACAGAUACCCACACCCACCCCCAGAGCCCACAUUGCUGACUUGGUGGACAUCACUCUAUGCAUGCUCAGGCAACCACAUGAAAUCAGAGAGAGAUGACAAAGGUUAGAAAUGACAUCACAUUGGCUGGGCGCAGUGGCUCACGCCUGUAAUCCCAGCACUUUGGGAGGCCGAGGCGGGUGGAUCACCUGAGGUCAGGAGUUCGAGACCAGCCUGACCAAUAUGGAGAAACUCCGUCUCCACUAAAAUUACAAAAUUAGCUGGGUAUGGUGGUGCAUGCCUGUAAUCCCAGCUACUUAGGAGGCUGAGGCAGGAGAAUCACUUGAACCUGGACGGCAGAGGUUGUGGCGGACCGAGAUCGCGCCAUUGCACUCCAGCCUGGGCGACAAGAGCGACACUCCAUCUCCAAAAGAAAAAAAAAGUGACAUCAUAUUAUGGUCCUCUGCACCUUAGUUUUCUCAUGCAACAGUACCUUAAGGAAAUGACUCCAAGGACUUGGGUUCCUUUGAUUGAGUAGUGAUCUUUAAAGGGCUCGUAAUAUCACAUGGUGCACACCUUGGGAUAUACUUUAAUUUACUCACACAAUUCUCAACAAAGGGAGACAAUUCAUUCCUGUUAUUUAUGGUUGCUUUGUUCUAUAAAGUCAUCAUGAACACUAGUUCAUGUGCAACUAGUGGAUACUGAACCAUUGCUUCUAGGAGAGACUCAACGUUAGCUUCCUUUGAACCUCUAGUCUAAACAUUUUAGUCAAAUGAUCAAUAGAUAACCUUGUUUUAUGUGUCUUUCUUUUUAAGGACACCUUAUUGAAUAUAUAUUGUUGAUUCAUAAACAUUGGACUCAUGGCCAACAACCCAUGAGUUGUGCCUAAGCAAAGCUUAUCUCAAAGAUGCAUUUUCUCCAUAAGGCGUUCACAGCCUUCUUGCCCUUAGUGAUACUAUACAGUACUUCAGCACUAUGCCUGGGACCCACUUUCAACAGUGAGAUCACCAGUGUAAGUUACAAACAUGCAAAAAAAUGGAGCACCAAAUAGAACAACAGAAAAGGACAGUUGUUCACAGCAUGAAAGUUGAAAUGAGAAAGCAGAAUAGUGCUUUGUUCUGCUGCAGUUGGGAAUGCCAACAUUGGACAACUCGAAUCUUCUGCCACUAUGCCUGAGAACGAUGGCAAAAGUGCUGUGAUUAUCACCUUGGGGCUCACAGGUGGUGUUAUCCAGUCUCAUGGUUCUAAAAACCAUGCGCAGUCUGGCUGAGGAUUCCAACAUUCAUGUCUCCAGCCCAGACCACCUGAACCCGCACUGGACCUGACCUUGAACUUCAGGCUUGUCUGGCCAACUGCCUCCCUGACAUCUGUACUUGAGUGUCAAAUGGAUACCUCAAGUCAAUGGGAAUAAGCUGAGACCCUUCUACUCCACUCCCACACCUCCAGCUCCUGUAACCUUUUUCCUCUUCUCAGAUAGUGGCAACCCCAUUAGCUUGGUUGUUAGGUCAAACUCUUGGCUAUCUUUUCUCUUUCCCUCUGUUUUACACACCCUACAUCUAGGUGGUCAGAAAAUACCAUUGGUUUACCUUCAAAAUAGGUUUGGAACCAUUUCUUCUCUUUCCCACCACCAUUACCCUUGUCUAAGGUAUGUGCAUUCUUUCCUGAGGUACUGCAGUGGCCUUCUACCUGCUUUCCCAGGCGGCCAGGGCCAUCUCUCAAAUAUGUAAAUCACAUCGCUCCCCUGGGAAACCCUCCCACAGCUUCCCAUCUCACCUGUGGGAAAAGCCAAAGUCCUGACUGACCAGGCAGCCCUGCUGGACCUAGUUCCCUCUUAGCUCUCUGCAUCCAUCUCCCAGUAUUCUCCCCUCAGUCCCAUCUGCUUCACUGCAGCCACGCCAGUCUCUGUCCAUCCUAAAGCAAGCCAGGCACAUGCCAUUCUCAAGGCCUUUGCAACUCCUCUUUCUUCUGCCUGAAAUGCUCUCAACCUUUCAUUUCUUUGGCUUUUAUCUCAAGUCACCUUCUAAGUGAGGCCUUCCAUGUCCUUCAAUAGCUAAUAUAUCUAGAUAUUAACUGCCUUGCCUCCGACUUUUUAUACCCCUUUCUCUGAUUUGUUUCUCUAGGUCUAAUCAUAUUAAUACAUAUUUUAUAUUUUUUAACCUAUUUAUCUUAAAUAUUGCCUGCUUUCUUCAUUAGAGUGUAAACACCUUGAAAGGAAGAUGGUUUUAAUCUUUAAUUUCUCUCAGCAAUGUUUUGCAGUUUUCAGAAUACAGAUUUUGCCCAUAUUUUGUAAAUUUAUUCCCAAGGAUGUACUAUAAUUGAUGCUUUGUACAUAUAAAAGUACAUGUAUAUUUUAAUUUAAAUAUUUAAUUGAUUAUUGCUAAUAUGCAAAAUUCAUUUGGGUAUCCUGACCUUAUUUUCUGUAGCAUUGAUACAUGUAAUUAUUUGUUCUGGUAGAUAUUUUCUGUAUAUUUCUUAGAAUUUUCUACAAAAUCAUAUUUCCUGUGUAUAUAGGUAUUUCCUUUCUUUUCUAUCUAGACACUUUUUAUUGCUUUUGGUUGCCUUAUUGCACUCUAGAGAACUGCUAGUAUAAUGCUGAGUAGAAGUAGUGAGAGUGAACAGCCUUGCUUUUUUCCCUAAUCUUGAGGAGAAAGCCUUCAUU
rnacentral:lncRNA from 1 species